rnacentral:misc_RNA from 1 species
AUCAAAGGGAGCUUGCUCCCUAAGGUUAGCGGCGGACGGGUGAGUAACACGUGGGCAACCUGCCUAUAAGACUGGGAUAACUUCGGGAAACCGGAGCUAAUACCGGAUAAUUUCUUUCUCCACAUGGAGGAAGGUUGAAAGACGGCUCACGCUGUCACUUACAGAUGGGCCCGCGGCGCAUUAGCUAGUUGGUGAGGUAACGGCUCACCAAGGCAACGAUGCGUAGCCGACCUGAGAGGGUGAUCGGCCACACUGGGACUGAGACACGGCCCAGACUCCUACGGGAGGCAGCAGUGGG